rnacentral:misc_RNA from 1 species
GAAAUGCGAUAAGUAAUGUGAAUUGCAGAAUUCAGUGAAUCAUCGAAUCUUUGAACGCACAUUGCGCCCGCCAGUACUCUGGCGGGCAUGCCUGUUCGAGCGUCAUUACAACCCUCAGGCCCCCGGGCCUGGCGUUGGGGAUCGGCGGAAGCCCCCUGCGGGCACAACGCCGUCCCCCAAAUACAGUGGCGGUCCCGCCGCAGCUUCCAUUGCGUAGUAGCUAACACCUCGCAACUGGAGAGCGGCGCGACCACGCCGUAAAACACCCAACUUCUGAAUGUUGACCUCGAAUCAGGUAGGAAUACCCGCUGAACUUAAGC